GACGAACGCUGGCGGCGUGCUUAACACAUGCCAGUCGAACGGUGAAGCACCUUCCUUUUGGUGGGUGUGGAUGAGUGGCGAACGGGUGAGUAACACGUGAGUAACCUGCCCCCUUCUUCUGGAUAACCGCAUGAAAGUGUGGCUAAUACGGGAUAUUCUGGGUCUGUCGCAUGGCGGGCCUGGGAAAGAUAUUGUUUCGGUGGGGGAUGGGCUCGCGGUCUAUCAGCUUGUUGGUGGGGUGAUGGCCUACCAAGGCGGUGACGGGUAGCCGGCCUGAGAGGGUGGACGGUCACACUGGGACUGAGACACGGCCCAGACUCCUACGGGAGGCAGCAGUGGGGAAUAUUGCACAAUGGGCGCAAGCCUGAUGCAGCGACGCCGCGUGAGGGAUGGAGGCCUGCGGGUUGUAAACCUCUUUCGCCAGUGAAGCAGGCCUGUCCCUUGUGUGGGUGGGUUGACGGUAGCUGGAUAAGAAGCGCCGGCUAACUACGUG
rnacentral:rRNA from 1 species